UACGUAGGGCGCAAGCGUUGUCCGGAAUCAUUGGGCGUAAAGAGCGUGUAGGCGGCUUUACAGGUCCGUUGUGAAAACUCGAGGCUCAACCUCGAGACGCCGGUGGAAACCGUAAGGCUAGAGUCCGGAAGAGGAGAGUGGAAUUCCUGGUGUAGCGGUGAAAUGCGUAGAUAUCGAGAGGAACACCUGCGGCGAAGGCGGGUAGCUGGGCCGACACUGACGCUGAUGCACGAAAGCGUGGGGAGCAAACAGG
rnacentral:rRNA from 1 species